AGGACGAACGCUGGCGGCGUGCUUAACACAUGCAAGUCGAGCGGAAAGGCCCUUCGGGGUACUCGAGCGGCGAACGGGUGAGUAACACGUGAGUAAUCUGCCCCUAGCUCUGGGAUAGCUCCGGGAAACCGGGAUUAAUACCGGAUACGACCACUUUAGACAUCUGUUGUGGUGGAAAGAAUUUUGGCUAGGGAUGAGCUCGCGGCCUAUCAGCUUGUUGGUGGGGUAAUGGCCUACCAAGGCGACGACGGGUAGCCGGCCUGAGAGGGCGACCGGCCACACUGGGACUGAGACACGGCCCAGACUCCUACGGGAGGCAGCAGUGGGGAAUAUUGCGCAAUGGGCGAAAGCCUGACGCAGCGACGCCGCGUGGGGGAUGAAGGCCUUCGGGUUGUAAACCCCUUUCGAUCGGGAAGAUAAUGACGGUACCGAUAUAAGAAGCCCGGCUAACUUCGCGCCAGCAGCCGC
rnacentral:rRNA from 1 species